GUGAACUCCCAUAUGAAAAGAUCGGGGAUGUUCAUCGUGACAUUUUAAUUGAACCCCUCAGGGAGAAAAACUGGGCGUGGACAGCUUUCUUUGACCCACCACAUAUACACUAUAAAACGGACAGAGGGCAUUCCUUUUUAUUAUUUCUUCGAGUGCAGCCCCAAAAGAUACCUUGACGGCUAAAAAUAAGGGCAUUUUGUCCUGAACCACAUAACUAAGAGCGAUGUCCGUGAUUUACAUCCCUAAGCGGGACGACGAACAUCCCCGAGGAGUCUCCAAACCCCGGCCUCGGGAAAGUUAUUAACGUGAUGACCCUUUUUACUCUAAUCGCAGAAAUAAAUACAUCUACAAACAAUUUAAUCUCCAACCCUCGAUUCAUUACUAAUCCACCAUCCACUUUUUACAGAUUUAUCUACUCGGGUAACAAAAUCUGGAAGACAUCAUGGCUACCGAGAAACCCUCUUUAGUCAACACUCUCGAUGAUCUCAGGUUGACGAAACAUCCAGGCGGUCUCCCAGAAAAAUUAGUUUCAAGAAUUGCUGCCCCGCAACUAGUUCCAGAGCCAGGAGAGCUAAUCGAAGCGGGGGCCCUAAACCUAUGAAGCCCAUUUGAGAAAGUACCGUCGCCCCCCGGGACAGGUGGAAACUAAAGACUUUUGAAGCUGACCUUGGAUUUAGCAAGCACUAUAGUCAUUUUAAUGAAAGUUGGUUGCUAAUGACACUCGAAAAAGCAUCGCGUGUUGUUGUAAUUAGGUGGUAAUCUUUCCAAAUCUUGGCGGUUCUUUUACUCUUUACUUCAUACUGUAGACUCUCCUUACUGACUUUAUGGAUUGCUAUGAGUGACAAUUGUGAGAAUUUGAUAGAACAUCACAUUAGAUGCCGCAUCACUCCUAGGAACUUAGGGAUAAAACUAUAGCUGGUCUAAUGAUACCUGAUACAAGAGAAAUAUACUAGAUUAUAAUAUUUUAUUGUAAUAAUCGUUGUAAAAUCCUUUGAAUCACAAAUUCAAUAUCACUCUAUUGUCAACCAGACAGGCGGCGAGUAAAGAGAAAAAUAUGAACCACGAAAUUCUUACCACUUACAUCAAGAGAAAUGUUAGACAAUCUGUAUUAAGAAUUUAAAUUUUCACGCCUGGCACUAGGGGCAUAAAAGACUUGAUGAUAGAAACGCUUUCUUUUGUGUGAAUCUUUGUUUAGAAAACAAAGACCAAACGCUCUCAAAGGGACUCAACCUGAUAACAAGACAGCUUUCAAAACAAGUAGUUAACCAAAGGUAAUCGCGAAUUUGAUCAAAAAGCGCGUGGGGUGGAAAAGGAAAGACUGUAAAGUAUAUGAUAAAGAGAUCAACUCUAGCCUUUCUAAGGUCAAUUUGUGGCGCACAUAAAUCGCCCAAAGAUUACACAGAUGUCGAUAAAUCGAAGAAGAUUCAGUGGGGCUAUCGACGAGAAUGGUUUAGUAAGGUUAAGGCAGCGAGCGAGUUCUCGCGGGCAAACGCAGGCAUCGUACUUAACACGCCUGAAACUUCGAAACUCGCUGGCGAGUGAAGCUCGUUAAAAAUAAAUGAUCGGAAAUUUGA
rnacentral:lncRNA from 1 species